AUGGCGGGAAGGCUGGUCUCCAUGCUCCGGUGGCCGCCAGACCUCGGGGGCCUCCCGAGCCAGCUGGCCUCCCUGCUGCCGUCGCCGACGUCAUACGCGUCCCUCCAGUGGGACUGGCGGCCGGAGCAGCUCGGCGCGGCUAUUCGGCGGUGGCCCGAGCUCGUGCCGGACGUGCCCCUCGUCGUGGACGCCGUGCUCUGGGGAGUCGUCACGGCCGUCGAGUCCGUCGCGCUCAUCUCCAUGAUGUGCUGCUUCUUCCUCUUCUGCGGCUGCACGCUGUGA
rnacentral:rRNA from 1 species